rnacentral:tRNA from 1 species
GCCCGCGUAGCUCAGGGGAUAGAGCAACAGCCUUCUAAGCUGGAGGUCGCAGGUUCGAUUCCUGCCGCGGGUACCA